UGUCCUACGGGAGGCAGCAGUGAGGAAUUUUGGUCAAUGGGGGAAACCCUGAACCAGCGACGCCGCGUGUGGGAUGAAGGGGCUCUGCCCUGUAAACCACUGUUGAGAGGGAAGAAAAGCUUUUUAAAAAGCUGGGACUGUACCUCUUUAGAAAGGAUCGGCUAACUACGUGCCAGCAGCCGCGGUAAUACGUAGGAUCCAAGCGUUGUCCGGAAUCACUGGGUAUAAAGGGUGCGUAGGCGGGCUUGUGCGUUAGAGGUUAAAUCCCCCGGCUCAACUGUGGAGCUGCCUUUGAUACGGCAAGUCUUGAGUGUGAGAGAGGAUGGUAGAAUUCCUGGUGUAGCGGUGAAAUGCGUAGAUAUCAGGAGGAAUACCAGUGGCGAAGGCGGCCAUCUGGCUCAUCACUGACGCUGAGGCACGAAAGCGUGGGGAGCGAACAGGAUUAGAUACCCUGGUAGUC
rnacentral:rRNA from 1 species